AUGGGGAGUGUCCUGCGAGGUCUGGAGGUCACCGAGGCGGGCGAGGAGGACGCUGAGGGAGGGAUGCGAGAACUCAACGCACCGGCAGGGGGAGCCCGAGUAAGCAGGAAGCAAGGGCCUGGGAGUGGGCGGCCGGCGGUAGGCCGACCGAGGUUACCCGCGGGCGACCGUCGUGACGCAGUCCCCGGCCCGGAUCUGGAGAAGAGAAGAGCCGGACACUGCAAGGUCAGCAUUGACCCCAUUUUACGGAUGAGACAACUGAGACUCCGAGAGGUGAGACUGGCCGCCCCGGGUCCCACGGCUAAUCAGUGCAGGGGCGGGAUUCGAAGUGAGGACACCCUGUCAUCGACCCUUUCCCCUCCCAUACCUCUGACUGGAGGGUGACUACUUGCACUCUACUCAGCUCAAAGAGUUGUUGGCUGCCUGCUCCCUGCUCCCUGCUCAGAGAGCGUCCCUUGUAGCUCAGUCAGUAAAGAAUCUGCCUGCAGUUCAGGAGACCCAGGUUCGAUCCCUGAGUCGGGAAGAUCCCCUGGAGAAGGAAAUGGCAAUCCACUCCAGCAUUCUUGCCUGAAGAAAUCCCAUGGACAGAGGAGCCUGGUGGGCUGCAGUCCAUGGGGUUGCAGAGUCGGGCACGACUGAGCGAUUAACACUUACACUUACUUACCCUGGUCAGAGGCACCCAGUCUUGGGGUGGGUGCCCACCAACAGUAGGGAGAUGUAGCCAUAAAACUUAGUGGUCGGUACUUCCUACUUUAGUGUCUUCUCUAGUGGCUCUGUGGUAAAGAAUCUGCCUGCCCUCAGAUACAGCUUCGAGAUACGGGU
rnacentral:lncRNA from 1 species